rnacentral:tRNA from 1 species
GCCCUUGCAGCACGACGGAUCGUGCAACGCGCUACGAACGCGGAGGCUGGUGGUUCGAAUCCACUCAAGGGCU